UACAGAGGCCUCAAGCAUUAUCCGGAAUCAUUGGGCGUAAAGGGUGCGUAGGCGGUCUAGUUAGUCGAUAGUUAAAACCCGGGGCUCAACCCCGGGCUCGCUACCGAAACGGCUAGACUCGAGAGCAGGAGAGGUGUACGGAACUCAUGGUGUAGGGGUGAAAUCCGUUGAUAUCAUGAGGAACACCAAAGGCGAAGGCAGUACACUGGCCUGUUUCUGACGCUGAGGCACGAAACCCUGGGUAGCGAAAGGG
rnacentral:misc_RNA from 1 species